rnacentral:rRNA from 1 species
UUGUCGUUGCCUUCGAACGUGACCGGUGAACAUGUAACAUAAAGCCACCGGGGAGGAACUACCUCCUCGGCCCUACCGGCCUCGGCCUUUUUGGUUGGGUGUCGGAAAACGGCGCGGAAUGUCGCCAAGGAACACUGAUUUGCUGAGGCAGACGGCAAUAUGCUUGUGCUGCUGAGGCCAAUGAAAAACACUAUGACUCUCGGCAACGGAUAUCUCGGCUCUCGCAUCGAUGAAGAACGUAGCGAAAUGCGAUACGUGGUGUGAAUUGCAGAAUCCCGUGAACCAUCGAGUCUUUGAACGCAAGUUGCGCCCGAGGGACCCUCCCGAGGGCACGCCUGCCUGGGCGUUAGAAGCCCAUCAACGCUCCGCCACCCCUCCACGUAACCCGUGGUUGGGGAUUGGGAGGAUGCGGACAUUGGCCCUCCGAGCCGUUAAACGACGCGGUGGGCUGAAGUGCACGGUCGUUGGUUGGUACCGGGAUCGGCGAGUGGUGGGCUACUGCGCAUGCUAACCCCGGCCGCCAUCCUGACACAUGGCCUGUUUUGACCCCUAACAAGGAGGUCGUCGUUGCGGCAUCUUUGUCGCGCGGCAUCUUCUGACCGAUACCCCAGGUCAGGCGGGGCUACCCGCUGAGUUUAAGCAUAUCAAUA